AUCGCAGCCUAGUGCGGCACUCCAAACGUAGCGUUACGGGCUUCUCCAUUGCAAUGAAGGACUAACGCCUGAAAGGAAAUAAUGAUUUGCAUCCGCAUGUAACUUGAGCAUAUGUCUCAAAGGAAAUGAAAAGAAUGUUUGCUUUUUGAACGUCCUCGUUGAAAACCAGGUUCUCUACGCUAGCAUCUGUUUGUGGUCUCCGGCGCUAAAUGUUUUUACACGACGCAGUACAUUUUGAGUACUACGGAUUAAUUGCUGCAGCGGUACCUAGUCCCGAUUGUGGCGAUGCUUUCAAUUGCCUGUACAACAUAGUCACGCACAUUUUACUUAGACAAGGAAUGUCUAGUUUUUAAGUCUGAAUACAAUUUAUAUUUUAACAUAGUCUGCCGAUUGUCCGUGAGGUUGGACCCACUUCGAUAUGCGGGUCUCUGUGUGGUAAUCAGGUCAUGAGCAAACAUCUUAAAGCACGUGCACAAUUUGGAUGUACAUGCAGAUUUCGACCAGCUGAAGGACCAACCCCGCAGAGAGCCAGUAGAAGCCCAAAUUCUAGAGGAGUGACAUUGUUUGGGUUGCCAAGAUGGACGUGGGGAACCUGGGGAUCUCUCAGUCCCAGGUCUUUCUCAACUACAGCCCGCGGGCCAUCCUGUCACAGUGGAGUCUCUCCCUGGGCACGCGGCGUGUGAUGGAGGCAGUGCGGGAGGGCCCUAAGAGCACCCUGAGCUCUGGUAAAGUUGUGGCUCUGGCAGCGGGGCUGUCUGUAGGAGCGACGGUGGGAUACAUAGUCUACCGGCAAAUCAAAAGCACCAGCUCUCCGCUUGCUAACACCGAGGAGUCCAGGAUGUCGGUACCUCUGGAGGUUUACAGGACUAUUACCAAGUACCAAGCCUCCUUCCUGGACCUGGUGAUGCAGAAGUCCGGUGCCCGCGUGAGGGUGCUCUCUGAGUCUUCACAGGCAGGCGAGGGGGAGCAAAGUUGCCAGAAUUCCGUGUGUUUCCUGCUGCAGGGCUCACCUCAGCAGGUGCUGCUGGCCAGGUGUUCCCUGGAGAACCUGGCCGCAGACUGUGAGACCACCACUGACGUCAUGGAGGUACCCCAGACUGCCUUCGGACGUAUCAUAGGUCGUGGAGGGGAGUCUCUGAAGCUCAUCACCAGGACAACAGGAGCAAGAGUCCUAUGUCCCAGGGAGAGGGGGCGGGGCCUAGAGAGGGGCAUGGUGUCUGUCACAGGGACGAGACUGGAGGUCAGACGGGCCAAGGAGCUCAUCCUAGAGAAGGUAUUUGAGGAUGAGGCUGUAAGGAGGAGGAUAACCCAGUCCUCGGCCCUGCGCCAGAAACGAAGACCCUUCGAGCCCCAGGGUCAAGGGUCUGAGGAACUGAAGCUGGAGGAGGCUCCACAGUCUCUCUGGAUGGAGGAAGGGAGGCUGGUCCAUGCUAACGGUGUUCAGACCGCAGUGAGAGACCUUGCCCAGGAUAGAGGAGAGACCGUACAGCUGGCUACAGAGGCACGAGAGGAUGACGAUCUUCUGUCGCCCGACUCCCUAUCAGAUGUUUCUAAAUUUGAAAUUCCCAGCCCAGACCUGAGCUUCCAGCCAGAUGAGCACCUGGAGGUGUAUGUAUCGGCGUCAGAGAACCCCCACCACUUCUGGAUCCAGAUCCUGGGGGUCCGCUCCCUCCAGCUGGACAAACUUACUGCCGAGAUGAGCCGCUUCUACAGCAACGGCACCCUGCAGGAGCAGCGAGUGGAGACCAUCGUGGUGGGGGACAUCGUGGCAGCUCCGUACCGGGACUACGGCACCUGGAACAGGGCGAGGGUCCUGGGGGUGAUGGGCUCUGGCCUAGUGGACCUCUACUAUGUCGACUUCGGAGACAAUGGAGAACUACCCAGGGAUAGUCUCCGAAGUAUGAGAAGUGACUUUCUCAGCCUACCAUUCCAGGCCAUCGAGUGCAGCCUAGCUGGAGUCAACCCUGCAGGUGACGUGUGGAGCGACCAAGCCCUGGAUGACUUUGAGCGCCUGACGUAUGUUGCAGAGUGGAGACCCCUGCUGGCCAAACUGUGCAGCUACACCCACUCUGAGGUCUCCUCUUGGCCAAGUGUACAGCUCUACGACAACACCGAGGGCAAGGCUGUAGAUCUAGGAGAGGAGAUGGUGAGUCUGGGCCAUGCUGUACCUAGCCAAGAUAAUGGGAACGGGGGUGGCGACAGGGACGACCCUGGAACACUACAGAGGAUGCUGGAUGAUGUGACUGGAGCCACGUCGGAGCUAAGCCUGUCCUGCAUCAGCUUAUCAGGCUCUCUGAGCCCUCUGGAGCUGCAGCGGGCUGAUGUUGAUGACAGCCCCUCUGGGUUUGGCUUUGGGCUGACCCACUCCACCCCGGCCCAGCGAGCCCUGGUGGACCUGGUUUCCCACAUCCUGGAGUCCCCCAGCCCCUCUGAACACCCCCUCUCCCCAGACCACCAGGUCCCGGACGAGCGCUGUCACACACUCAACCGAACCACCAACCUCUACAGCUUUUCAGUGCCCCAGCUGCAACUCACACACACACUUCCUAUGUCCUCCUGUACCUCUUCGUCUACUUCCUUGUCGCCUCUGGAGGUCGUGACCUCUGUUUUGGGUUCGGUCAUGCUGAGUGACAACGUCUUCCUGGAGGGCUCCAGUUAUGACGGGGAUGAGGAAUGUGGCAUAACCUCGUCUUCCGGAGAAGUGGAGACAACUGGGGGAAACUCAACUUGGUGGUCGACUAGAGGUGACAGUCUGGAGGAGGAAGUGGACGAGGAACAGAACAGUGAGGGGGCCAUCGACAUCGGUUCCACUCCUACCUUCCCCACACAGAGGCACUUGUGGCUGGAAGAGGGCAGGCAUGGGGGUGGUGAAGAUAGCACUGAAAGUCUUAGUGUGGUUGUAGUUGGCAGUAGUUUCAGUAGCAGUGGGAGUGAUAUUAUCUAUAUGGGGUCAGUGGCGCCUGCUUGGGAGAAGGGUCAGGCUGUGUCCUGCCCUAAUGUUGAUGGUGGCAACCCACAGAGGACGAGGAAAGAAACAAGAUUACCGUUCCACCUCUCUGAGGAGGCAAUGGACAUGAAUGCCCUGGAAAGCCAAGCUGGAAUGUAUGAGAAGACUGAGGAACAGAGAAACCGACUGGACGAACACGAGAUGGAGGAAGUGAAGAGUCCACUUGGGGAGGAGUCAGGAUCUGAACACAGGAACGAACCUUCAGCGGGAUUCCAUUCAUCAGAGGAGUUUGGGACGGAGAGUGGAAAAUUGGGUAUUGCAGAGCGGCCACCGCAUCAGAGGAGUGGUCUGCGAACCGCCGAGCAAUCCAACUGCACUGAAGUAAAUGACAGGAGAGCGAGCCCUCAGGAGUUAUGACCUAUGAAGGAGUCUAUCCCAAACAGAGAAGUGGCCUCAAUCUCAGGAAGCGUUGAUGAUGUUCUAGAGGACGAGUUCGUCUGAGACCAAAGACAGACUUGUCAACACUGACCAUCCACUCUCUGCAUCAACUCCAUGUUAUGAAGUGGACACCUUCCCUCACCCCCACGCCACCAACCCCCUCGUCCUCUUCAUGAAGCCUUACUUGACUCAUGCUGAAUCCCAAAUGAACCAUUAGCCCCGUACUCCUUGGCAUUUUCUGUUUUAUCUGAAACAAUUGGAUAAUUUUUUUCAAAACCUCAGCCGGCAAAUUUAGCCACUUACCAUGUGGCCUGAACCAAUCUGAUCACUACUGAUCUGCAGGAAUGGUUAGCAUCUGCAGACUGUGCAGCAGUUCUCCCAGCCAAUUUCAUUGAACUGUGGUCUUUCCCUGAUACGGGUUGAUUUGGGUUAUGCCUUUCAUGCAGUUAUGCUUUGCUGCUAUGUGUUUAUUGUUUAAGUUGCUGAGGAGAAGAGAUGGAGGAAAAAGAAGUCGAAUGCCAGUAUUGUUUAAGAUAAAGCACUGUGCUAGGAGUCGUUCGAGCCCUAUAUUAGGUGAUUGUGGCUGUUAGAACAAAAUCAAUCUGUAAAUUAAAAUGUAAGCCUCUGUACUAUUGUGCGUUAGUUUUAUGUUGUGAAAAUAAAGAUAUUACACUUAAA